UACGUAGGGUGCAAGCGUUAAUCGGAAUUACUGGGCGUAAAGCGUGCGCAGGCGGUUCGCUAAGACAGAUGUGAAAUCGCCGGGCUUAACCUGGGAACUGCAUUUGUGACUGGCGGGCUAGAGUAUGGCAGAGGGGGGUAGAAUUCCACGUGUAGCAGUGAAAUGCGUAGAGAUGUGGAGGAAUACCGAUGGCGAAGGCAGCCCCCUGGGCCAAUACUGACGCUCAUGCACGAAAGCGUGGGGAGCAAACAGG
rnacentral:rRNA from 1 species